CUUCAAAAAAUUGGUAAGGUUACUUAAUUUGUGGGCAUUUAUUUCGUUUUUAUCAUAUACUUUUAAUAGGUUUAGUUUUUUUUAAAAUAAAUAAUUGGAUUUUGUCCCUAUAGAACAAGAUAAAUACAGUACAACUAUGUUACCGCUUUUAAAAAUACCGUUGUAGUCGCAGAGCACUGCUGGUCGCGUGCUGGAUCGGUAGGAUGUGCAUGAGAAGAACAGGGUGGGGGGGAAAGGUAGCAGGCCGCGCGACGCCAUUUUAUUCACUGCCAUGUUGUGAAUCACGACGCGUGUGUUUAUUCGGUGUGCACUUUGUUACCCGGCAAAAAGAACAUCAUGCCGCUAACACCAGCCGAAAAACAACGUCGGUACCGAAACAAACUAAAAUUAGACCCUGUUAAAGAAGAGGAAGCAAGAAAAAAAGCUUUGGAAAGGUACCACAAAACGAAACGCCUCGGCAAAGACUUAUCGUCACGUGAACAUCGCCAAAUAAAAAAAAAUGGCGGGUCGCCAACAGUAAAAGAAGGGACCGUAUUCGCGCCCUGGAAUCUAUUAUAAGAUAUACUCCUGAAUUGACACCUCAACCCGUUGUACCUCGUGAGAACACAUCACCCACAGGACAAAAUGCACCCAAUAUUCCUGAAAAUUAUCCGAUACCCGAUUCUCGUAGGUUGUGUACACUUCUAUGUCUAUCUCCAUUGCCUUCACGCCAGAAUGCUCAAGAAAACGUUCAAGAACAGAUGCCUAGACAAUCACUAUUGCAAUCAUGUAUGGCUCUGGAACGAUCAACGUCAACGGUGACGUCAUCUACAUCAGCUUCUGCCUCUGCGAAGAAUUGUGGACGAAAACAAGUAACUUGAACAACUGUGUUACCAUUGUGUCCCUAAUUCUAAGUAAAGGUUUUUCAACUUGAGUUGUACAAUUAGCUUAUAAAUUACAU